CAUGGUCUUCUGGGAAAGCCUUUGCGGCAUGGGAUGGGGUCGCGUCCUAUCAGCUUGAUGGCGGGGUAACGGCCCACCAUGGCUUCGACGGGUAGCCGGCCUGAGAGGGCGACCGGCCACAUUGGGACUGAGAUACGGCCCAGACUCCUACGGGAGGCAGCAGUGGGGAAUAUUGCACAAUGGGCGCAAGCCUGAUGCAGCGACGCCGCGUGAGGGAUGGAGGCCUUCGGGUUGUAAACCUCUUUUGUUAGGGAGCAAGGCAUUUUGUGUUGAGUGUACCUUUCGAAUAAGCACCGGCUAACUACGUGCCAGCAGCCGCGGUAAUACGUAGGGUGCAAGCGUUAUCCGGAAUUAUUGGGCGUAAAGGGCUCGUAGGCGGUUCGUCGCGUCCGGUGUGAAAGUCCAUCGCUUAACGGUGGAUCCGCGCCGGGUACGGGCGGGCUUGAGUGCGGUAGGGGAGACUGGAAUUCCCGGUGUAACGGUGGAAUGUGUAGAUAUCGGAAAAA
rnacentral:rRNA from 1 species